AGCCUGGAUGGCUGGUAUCAGAACUUAUUAACAUUAGUGUCACUAAAGUUGGUAUACCCCCCCCCCACUGCUAAAUUUGACUGGCUUUAA
rnacentral:sRNA from 1 species